AACGUAGGUACCGAGCGUUAUCCGGAUUUACUGGGCGUAAAGGGCGCGUAGGCGGGAUGGCAAGUCGGUCGUGAAAUCCCUCGGCUCAACUGAGGAUCGUCGAUCGAUACUGCCGUUCUUGAGGAUUGCAGAGGAGACUGGAAUUCCCGGUGUAGCGGUGAAAUGUGUAGAGAUCGGGAGGAACACCGGUGGCGAAGGCGGGUCUCUGGGCAAUUCCUGACGCUGAGGCGCGAAAGCGUGGGGAGCAAACGGG
rnacentral:rRNA from 1 species